UAGCUUGAGAAAUCAAGUUGCAGGCUGCUGUAGAAGGCCAAAGAAGUCAAGUUUCAAUUUUUCAAAUCGUUCUGGAACCACGGAUGGAUAGGAGGAAGAGCACAUGUGCGUAUAAGGUGAACUUAGCAGGAAAUUCGUUGCAGUGACUCGUUAGAGCGAAGAUUCUAAGCGCUUUCUCUCUGAAUCGUUAUUAUGCUCAUCAACCUAGCUCGGGGUUGUGAAAAGGCGUCGUUUUGUGAGUGAAGUCUAGUACGUAACCAAGCAAUCUGUUGACCAGCCUGACGUUGUUGAUGUACGAAGGAGAUUCACUCCAACAUUAGUUGGAGACGAUUGCAGACUCAGCUGCAGGCAUAGAUGGGUCUACGAGCCUGCAGUUCUCAACUUGCAACUGGAGAUCGCUGUAGGAGCAUUGAUGUGCACUCGUGUAUGCCAACUAGAGACUUAUGGACGACCUGGUCAUGUGUACACACGGACGGACGGAAAUCUUAACACAGCUAGCAAUUUAAGAUGAUGUACUGCUUGCUGCACAUCACCCAACUGACUGACAGAAGUAAUCUCACUGUUUUCAGCUUCUAAAGGAAACCUAGCUUCUCGCCCAUGCAUUAAAAAGAAGGAGAGAACUUGGUGGACUCUUGAACACUGGUUCGAAUAGCAAAGAGAACUGGGUCAAUGAGUUCAUCCCAGUCUUCUUCAUGCUCUAUUACCAAUUUUUCAAGGCAUCUAUGUAGUCAUAAUACUCUGAUUGCAAUAGAACUACACUUAUCUUCUUAUAUUGUUUAUCUUACUUUCUAAUUGUUUGAUUUGUUCUUUCAUCUAGUCCGUUAGACUGAGGAUGAUAAGCUGCUGUUAUUCUUUGCCUGACAUUGAAUUGACAGUGGAGUACCUUGCA